rnacentral:rRNA from 1 species
CUUUCUUUGCUGGCGACCGGCGCACGGGUGAGUAACACGUAUCCAACCUGCCCUUUACUCGGGGAUAGCCUUUCGAAAGAAAGAUUAAUACCCGAUAGCAUAAUGAUUCCGCAUGGUUUCAUUAUUAAAGGAUUCCGGUAAAGGAUGGGGAUGCGUUCCAUUAGGUUGUUGGUGAGGUAACGGCUCACCAAGCCUUCGAUGGAUAGGGGUUCUGAGAGGAAGGUCCCCCACAUUGGAACUGAGACGCGGUCCAA